CGCUAUGCGCAGAGGCGAUAACGUGACCAAUGAGGCUUUGCCGAGGUGCGUUUAUUGCUGGUUGAAACAAGCGAUUUAU
rnacentral:snRNA from 14 species